AGCAGCCGCGGUAAUUCCAGCUCCAAUAGCGUAUAUUAAAGUUGUUGCAGUUAAAAAGCUCGUAGUUGAAUUUCGGGAUCAAUACGUCGGUCGUGCUUUCGGGUACGUACUGGCGUCAUUGGUUUCUCCUUUCUGACGAACCAUGAUGUCAUUAAUUUGGUGUUAUGGGGAGUUAGGACUGUUACUUUGAAAAAAUUAGAGUGUUUAAAGCAAGCUAACGCUUGAAUACAUUAGCAUGGAAUAAUGAAAUAGGACGUUCGAUCCUAUUUUGUUGGUUUCUAGGAUUGACGUAAUGAUUAAUAGGGAUAGUUGGGGGCAUUAGUAUUCAAUUGUCAGAGGUGAAAUUCUUGGAUUUAUUGAAGACUAACUACUGCGAAAGCAUUUGCCAAGGAUGUUUUCAUUAAUCAAGAACGAAAGUUAGGGGAUCGAAGACGAUCAGAUACCGUCGUA
rnacentral:rRNA from 1 species